rnacentral:rRNA from 1 species
AUUGAACGCUGGCGGUAUGCCUUACACAUGCAAGUCGAACGGUAGAGGGGCAACCCUUGAGAGUGGCGAACGGGUGAGUAAUACAUCGGAACGUGCCCAGUCGUGGGGGAUAACGUAGCGAAAGCUACGCUAAUACCGCAUACGACCUGAGGGUGAAAGCGGGGGAUCGCAAGACCGCGCGCGAUUGGAGCGGCCGAGUGCAGAUUAGGUAGUUGGUGGGGUAAAGGCCUAACAAGCCUGCGAUCUGUAGCUGGUCUGAGAGGACGAACAGCCACACUGGGACUGAGACACGGCCCAGACUCCUACGGGAGGCAGCAGUGGGGAAUUUUGGACAAUGGGCGAAAGCCUGAUCCAGCCAUACCGCGUGCGGGAAGAAGGCCUUCGGGUUGUAAACCGCUUUUGUCAGGGAAGAAAUCUUCUGGGCUAAUACCUCGGGAGGAUGACGGUACCUGAAGAAUAAGCACCGGCUAACUACGUGCCAGCAGCCGCGGUAA